rnacentral:lncRNA from 1 species
CUCAAUGCCAGAACAGUUACUUGAAUUUCAGAAUGUGAAUUAAGGGGCACACAGAUCCAGAAAAGGCUUUAUUAGGAAUGUUUAAGGUACAGUGUUGCAAACUUGAUUCGCACUGUAUUUUAAACAGAGUUGAAAACCCAAGGAAGCCACAACACAGGCUUUUUGACUACCAAGUUUGAGUAGCUACACAUUAUAUACAGAUUUAGCAAUGGUUUCCUGGAUUGCAAGACCCUGCCACACUGAGUUAAGUCAGACCAACUUGCAAAGGGCAUUUUUCCACGUUACCAGAAAGGCUCUGAAUAACAACCCCACUUCCCAGGUACCAUAGAGCAGGUCUGCUGGCCUGUUCCCCUCUCCUCAUGCGCUGGGGGCGUACUGCAUGGCAAGUCGAUCAAAGUCAUUCUCCUUUGCCUGAUACUCCUUUAUGAAUGGAUGAUUUUUAUGCGCAUCCUUCAACUGUGACAAAUAACGAUUUGUAACCUCUGGUGGUUUGCCCAAGUGUUGUGACAGGACAACGAAGUUGAUCAAGGUCUCAGGAUGGCCAGUACCUUGUCCAGUGCCUCCUGAAGUACUCCCUCUGCAUCAUCCCACUUGCCCUGAGCCAUAUAGCAGGCUGCCUGCCCAUUAAGCAGGAGGAGGGUGGAGGAGCAUUUGUCUGCCAUCUCUUGGAAGAUGUAAUAGGCAUCCUGUAACUUCUCACCACCUAUAGCCAGGUUCACCCAGGCAGUAGCCAGCUGAGUGAGGGUCGCAUCUUCAUCUUGCUCCUGCAUCUUCUUAAGUUCCUUGCGAGCCAGAUCAAGUCUGUCAAGCUUCAGAAGAAUCUGGAUCAUCAUCGCCAUGCAUUCCAAACUUUCUCCUUGAUGUAGAGUGCGUAGAGCUGCAUCAGGAUUUUUGUCAUGGAAAUAGAUUGAAGCAGCCAUCAGCAAGAAAGUAGUAUUGGCCACAUCAACACUUUUUGCCAUUUUUUUGUCCAAAUCAGCAACAAUUGCAUCCCUUUGACUCUCAUUUGAAAGAUAUUCCGCAAACAUCCGCACUGCUUGGAGCUCAGGACUAGCAUUGGCUUUGAUUUCAUCCAGUACAACACCGUAUUUUCUCUGGGCAAUGUAGGAUCUGAACAAGAAAACGUCCCUCUCUGUUUCCUUCUCAGGGUUAGAUGGCUUGAUCCGCUGCGCCUCGUUGAUGGCGGCCUGGUAGGCCCCGAUGUAGAAGCUGUUCUUCACGUCAAAGAGCUCAUCCGCCUCGCCACCCUGCCCAGCGGGACCGGCACCCGCCCCGGACGCCAUUUCCCCCCUCCAGACACGUCGCCGG